rnacentral:tRNA from 1 species
AUUUAUAUAAUAUAAAAAGUAUAUUUAACUUCCAAUUAAAUUGUUUAUUGCCCAAUAAUAUAAAUA